rnacentral:rRNA from 2 species
GAUGGACCCGCGGCGUAUUAGCUAGUUGGUGAGGUAAUGGCUCACCAAGGCGAUGAUACGUAGCCGAACUGAGAGGUUGAUCGGCCACAUUGGGACUGAGACACGGCCCAAACUCCUACGGGAGGCAGCAGUAGGGAAUCUUCCACAAUGGACGCAAGUCUGAUGGAGCAACGCCGCGUGAGUGAAGAAGGCUUUCGGGUCGUAAAACUCUGUUGUUGGAGAAGAAUGGUCGGCAGAGUAACUGUUGUCGGCGUGACGGUAUCCAACCAGAAAGCCACGGCUAACUACGUGCCAGCAGCCGCGGUAAUACGUAGGUGGCAAGCGUUAUCCGGAUUUAUUGGGCGUAAAGCGAGCGCAGGCGGUUUUUUAAGUCUGAUGUGAAAGCCCUCGGCUUAACCGAGGAAGCGCAUCGGAAACUGGGAAACUUGAGUGCAGAAGAGGACAGUGGAACUCCAUGUGUAGCGGUGAAAUGCGUAGAUAUAUGGAAGAACACCAGUGGCGAAGGCGGCUGUCUGGUCUGUAACUGACGCUGAGGCUCGAAAGCAUGGGUAGCGAACAGGAUUAGAUACCCUGGUAGUCCAUGCCGUAAACGAUGAAUGCGAGGGUUUCCGCCCUUCAGUGCCGCAGCUAACGCAUUAAGCAUUCCGCCUGGGGAGUACGACCGCAAGGUUGAAACUCAAAGGAAUUGACGGGGGCCCGCACAAGCGGUGGAUCAUGUGGUUUAAUUCGAAGCAACGCGAAGAACCUUACCAGGUCUUGACAUCUUUUGAUCACCUGAGAGAUCAGGUUUCCCCUUCGGGGGCAAAAUGACAGGUGGUGCAUGGUUGUCGUCAGCUCGUGUCGUGAGAUGUUGGGUUAAGUCCCGCAACGAGCGCAACCCUUAUGACUAGUUGCCAGCAUUUAGUUGGGUACUCUAGUAAGACUGCCGGUGACAAACCGGAGGAAGGUGGGGAUGACGUCAAAUCAUCAUGCCCCUUAUGACCUGGGCUACACACGUGCUACAAUGGAUGGUACAACGAGUUGCGAGACCGCGAGGUCAAGCUAAAGUGUUAAAGCCAGUCUCAGUUCGGACUGUAGGCUGCAACUCGCCUACACGAAGUCGGAAUCGCUAGUAAUCGCGGAUCAGCACGCCGCGGUGAAUACGUUCCCGGGCCUUGUACACACCGCCCGUCUACACCAUGAGAGUUUGUAACACCCGAA